AUGAAGGACGUGCUAAUCUGCGAUAAGCGUCGGUAAGGUGAUAUGAACCGUUAUAACCGGCGAUUUCCGAAUGGGGAAACCCAGUGUGUUUCGACACACUAUCAUUAACUGAAUCCAUAGGUUAAUGAGGCGAACCGGGGGAACUGAAACAUCUAAGUACCCCGAGGAAAAGAAAUCAACCGAGAUUCCCCCAGUAGCGGCGAGCGAACGGGGAGCAGCCCAGAGCCUGAAUCAGUGUGUGUGUUAGUGGAAGCGUCUGGAAAGGCGCGCGAUACAGGGUGACAGCCCCGUACACAAAAAUGCACAUGCUGUGAGCUCGAUGAGUAGGGCGGGACACGUGGUAUCCUGUCUGAAUAUGGGGGGACCAUCCUCCAAGGCUAAAUACUCCUGACUGACCGAUAGUGAACCAGUACCGUGAGGGAAAGGCGAAAAGAACCCCGGCGAGGGGAGUGAAAAAGAACCUGAAACCGUGUACGUACAAGCAGUGGGAGCACGCUUAGGCGUGUGACUGCGUACCUUUUGUAUAAUGGGUCAGCGACUUAUAUUCUGUAGCAAGGUUAACCGAAUAGGGGAGCCGAAGGGAAACCGAGUCUUAACUGGGCGUUAAGUUGCAGGGUAUAGACCCGAAACCCGGUGAUCUAGCCAUGGGCAGGUUGAAGGUUGGGUAACACUAACUGGAGGACCGAACCGACUAAUGUUGAAAAAUUAGCGGAUGACUUGUGGCUGGGGGUGAAAGGCCAAUCAAACCGGGAGAUAGCUGGUUCUCCCCGAAAGCUAUUUAGGUAGCGCCUCGUGAAUUCAUCUCCGGGGGUAGAGCACUGUUUCGGCAAGGGGGUCAUCCCGACUUACCAACCCGAUGCAAACUGCGAAUACCGGAGAAUGUUAUCACGGGAGACACACGGCGGGUGCUAACGUCCGUCGUGAAGAGGGAAACAACCCAGACCGCCAGCUAAGGUCCCAAAGUCAUGGUUAAGUGGGAAACGAUGUGGGAAGGCCCAGACAGCCAGGAUGUUGGCUUAGAAGCAGCCAUCAUUUAAAGAAAGCGUAAUAGCUCACUGGUCGAGUCGGCCUGCGCGGAAGAUGUAACGGGGCUAAACCAUGCACCGAAGCUGCGGCAGCGACGCUGAUGCGUUGUUGGGUAGGGGAGCGUUCUGUAAGCCUGCGAAGGUGUGCUGUGAGGCAUGCUGGAGGUAUCAGAAGUGCGAAUGCUGACAUAAGUAACGAUAAAGCGGGUGAAAAGCCCGCUCGCCGGAAGACCAAGGGUUCCUGUCCAACGUUAAUCGGGGCAGGGUGAGUCGACCCCUAAGGCGAGGCCGAAAGGCGUAGUCGAUGGGAAACAGGUUAAUAUUCCUGUACUUGGUGUUACUGCGAAGGGGGGACGGAGAAGGCUAUGUUGGCCGGGCGACGGUUGUCCCGGUUUAAGCGUGUAGGCUGGUUUUCCAGGCAAAUCCGGAAAAUCAAGGCUGAGGCGUGAUGACGAGGCACUACGGUGCUGAAGCAACAAAUGCCCUGCUUCCAGGAAAAGCCUCUAAGCAUCAGGUAACAUCAAAUCGUACCCCAAACCGACACAGGUGGUCAGGUAGAGAAUACCAAGGCGCUUGAGAGAACUCGGGUGAAGGAACUAGGCAAAAUGGUGCCGUAACUUCGGGAGAAGGCACGCUGAUAUGUAGGUGAAGUCCCUCGCGGAUGGAGCUGAAAUCAGUCGAAGAUACCAGCUGGCUGCAACUGUUUAUUAAAAACACAGCACUGUGCAAACACGAAAGUGGACGUAUACGGUGUGACGCCUGCCCGGUGCCGGAAGGUUAAUUGAUGGGGUUAGCGCAAGCGAAGCUCUUGAUCGAAGCCCCGGUAAACGGCGGCCGUAACUAUAACGGUCCUAAGGUAGCGAAAUUCCUUGUCGGGUAAGUUCCGACCUGCACGAAUGGCGUAAUGAUGGCCAGGCUGUCUCCACCCGAGACUCAGUGAAAUUGAACUCGCUGUGAAGAUGCAGUGUACCCGCGGCAAGACGGAAAGACCCCGUGAACCUUUACUAUAGCUUGACACUGAACAUUGAGCCUUGAUGUGUAGGAUAGGUGGGAGGCUUAGAAGUGUGGACGCCAGUCUGCAUGGAGCCGACCUUGAAAUACCACCCUUUAAUGUUUGAUGUUCUAACGUUGACCCGUGAUCCGGGUUGCGGACAGUGUCUGGUGGGUAGUUUGACUGGGGCGGUCUCCUCCUAAAGAGUAACGGAGGAGCACGAAGGUUGGCUAAUCCUGGUCGGACAUCAGGAGGUUAGUGCAAUGGCAUAAGCCAGCUUGACUGCGAGCGUGACGGCGCGAGCAGGUGCGAAAGCAGGUCAUAGUGAUCCGGUGGUUCUGAAUGGAAGGGCCAUCGCUCAACGGAUAAAAGGUACUCCGGGGAUAACAGGCUGAUACCGCCCAAGAGUUCAUAUCGACGGCGGUGUUUGGCACCUCGAUGUCGGCUCAUCACAUCCUGGGGCUGAAGUAGGUCCCAAGGGUAUGGCUGUUCGCCAUUUAAAGUGGUACGCGAGCUGGGUUUAGAACGUCGUGAGACAGUUCGGUCCCUAUCUGCCGUGGGCGCUGGAGAACUGAGGGGGGCUGCUCCUAGUACGAGAGGACCGGAGUGGACGCAUCACUGGUGUUCGGGUUGUCAUGCCAAUGGCACUGCCCGGUAGCUAAAUGCGGAAGAGAUAAGUGCUGAAAGCAUCUAAGCACGAAACUUGCCCCGAGAUGAGUUCUCCCUGACCCUUUAAGGGUCCUGAAGGAACGUUGAAGACGACGACGUUGAUAGGCCGGGUGUGUAAGCGCAGCGAUGCGUUGAGCUAACCGGUACUAAUGAACCGUGAGGCUUAACCUU
rnacentral:rRNA from 1 species